CAGUGAACGCUGGCGGCAGGCCUAACACAUGCAACUGCGUACCAAGGUAGCCGUGAGCUUGCUUCCCGGGUGACGAGUGGCGGACGGGUGAGUAAUGUCUGGGAAACUGCCUGAUGGAGGGGGAUAACUACUGGAAACGGUAGCUAAUACCGCAUAACGUCGCAAGACCAAAGAGGGGGACCUUCGGGCCUCUUGCCAUCGGAUGUGCCCAGAUGGGAUUAGCUAGUAGGUGGGGUAACGGCUCACCUAGGCGACGAUCCCUAGCUGGUCUGAGAGGAUGACCAGCCACACUGGAACUGAGACACGGUCCAGACUCCUACGGGAGGCAGCAGUGGGGAAUAUUGCACAAUGGGCGCGAGCCUGAUGCAACCAUGCCGCGUGUGUGAAGAAGGCCUUCGGGUUCUAAAGUACUUUCAUCGGGGAGGAAGGGGAUAAGGUUAAUAACCUUNUUGAUUGAAAUUUCCCGAAGGAAGAAACACCGGCUAACUUAAUUCCUGCGGCCGCCAAAAUUACGGA
rnacentral:rRNA from 1 species